rnacentral:tRNA from 1 species
GGAGUUGUGGCUCAGUGGUAGAGUGCUUGCCUGGCAUGCAUGAGGCCCUGGGCUCAAUCCUCAGCACCA